rnacentral:rRNA from 1 species
AUUCCAGCUCCAAGAGCGUAUAUUAAAGUUGUUGCAGUUAAAAAGCUCGUAGUUGGAUUUCUGGUCUAAUGCGCCUGGCCCGCUGCCGUUAGGUAUGUGAGUGCCGGUGCGCGAUUACCAUCCUUCCAGAGAACACUUCUACCAUUUAUUUGGACGGAUGUUGUCUUCUGGAUCUUUUACUUUGAAAAAAUUAGAGUGUUUAAAGCAGGCCUUUGCUGUGAAUACAUUAGCAUGGAAUAAUAAUCUAGGACUUCGGUUCUAUUUUGUUGGUUUCUAGUACUGAAGUAAUGAUUGAUAGGGAUAGUUGGGGGUGCUAGUAUUGGCCGGCCAGAGGUGAAAUUCUUGGAUUCGGUCAAGACUAACUUAUGCGAAAGCAUUCACCAAGGAUGUCUUCAUCA